UCAGGUCGAGAAAUGUCAAUUUGCUCUAAACAACUCUACCUUCUAUAUCUACAUACCUUGCUCACGAGCCCAUGGGCUCUCUGCAUAACUCGCUAGCUAGCAGAGUAUGUGGGGCACAGACGAUCUAGAUGAUUUUUAUAUUCGAUCAUUCCGUAAGUGAUAGUGCUAUGAGAUCUCAGGAGAUCAAACCCUACCCUAAGGCUAAGGUCUAAUCAUUUAACAUUGGGCGCGCAUCUUCGGUAUAUAGGACUCAAUAGAUGACUCCAAAACUACAAAGCGCCUCUCAACGAAGAAAAGGAUAUGUUUGCUGGGGAAUGUACCAGGCUCCACUGGGAAAGAGGAAAAUGUGUACUCAAGAGAACACGUUUCAUGGAGGUACACACCUGAUGGGAAACGAAUUUAAUUCCUUGCUUUUCUUUGUAUAAUGGAAUAUUUAUAGACUUUAUUUACUGCACGACGCCACGACGAUAACGAUA